CCCAUAAAAUGAAAGCUAAAAUUUCAGAAUGCUACUUACUGAAAUGAGGGCUUAGGCUUACCAUAGUUAGUACUAACUAUGAGCUUACUCAAUAAAUUAUCGCUAUAUUGACUGUGAGUCUCAUUGGCUCAUGACUCAAUGACUCAUUUGACUAAUAAAACAUCCGUUCUCGCUUCCAAUAUCAUGACAAUGAUUAAUUACAGUGUUUUACACUAUUAUGUUGACAUUAGUGUUUUGCAACUUGAUAUUAUGCAGGCCACAAUAUUCCUUUAUUUUUGUUUUUGUCAGAUUAACGGAGGAUGACUGACAAAUUCCCAACAAUUCUGGAAGGAUUCUAUAAAGCAGCUAAGAUUGGUGGUUAUACUGGGGCACG